GACGUAGGUGGCGAACGUUAUCCGGAAUCAUUGGGCGUAAAGAGUUCGUAGGCGGUUUGUCGCGUCCGUUGUGAAACGCUUGGGGCUCAACCCCAAGUCUGCAGUGGAUACGGGCAGGCUAGAGUCAGGUAGGGGAGAACGGAAUUCCUGGUGUAGCGGUGAAAUGCGCAGAUAUCAGGAGGAACACCGGUGGCGAAGGCGGUCUCUGGGCCUGUACUGACGCUGAGGAACGAAAGCGUGGGGAGCGAACAGG
rnacentral:rRNA from 1 species